rnacentral:rRNA from 1 species
CAAGUCGAACGCUUCACCGGUUUCGGCCGGUGGGGAGUGGCGCACGGGUGGGUAGCGCGUGGGAACCUGCCUUUCAGUGGGGGAUAACCGAGGGAAACUUCGGCUAAUACCGCAUGCGCCCCGGGGCCCGGUCUUCGGAUUAGGUUUGGGGGGAAAGAUUUAUCGCUGACAGAGGGGCCCGCGUCCGAUUAGCUGGUUGGUGGGGUAACGGCCUACCAAGGCUGCGAUCGGUAGCUGGUCUGAGAGGAUGAUCAGCCACACUGGGACUGAGACACGGCCCAGACUCCUACGGGAGGCAGCAGUGGGGAAUAUUGGACAAUGGGCGCAAGCCUGAUCCGAGCAAUGCCGCGUGAGUGAUGAAGGCCUUAGGGUUGUAAAGCUCUUUCGCCCGCGACGAUGAGACGUAGCGGGAG